AGAAAGCAGAACAGUUUGACGGACUUAAACAUCCUGUAUUGAAAUUCAUUUUAUGGCACAGAUGCAUCGAGGUCACACAUUGGGAUAACACUCGGUUUCCUCCUGUUCAUCACCAUCAUCAUCUUCAUCAUCCUCUCUGCCUAUCUGCGGACUAAAAGAUACAGUUUGACCAAUCAACGGCGCAAGCUCAGACAGACACUGAACAGCAUAGCACAGACCCUGCCGCCCCUUACCUGCCCUCAGUUUGUCCACACAGUGUUUUCUGCUCUGACCAAUCACCUGACCCGUAUCAUUCGUACACGCUGGCGUGCUGAAUGCUCAUCGAUUUGAUUUGAGAAAAGUUUUUAUUCCCUCAGCAACAUUGGA